AGGAAGUCCAGUACCCAGUUGCACAGGGCGGGGUCGAGACCCAGGGUCUCGAGCUUGAUGACGAGCUUGGAGGGUACUAUGGUGUUGAAUGCCGAGCUGUAGUCGAUGAACAGCAUUCUCACAUAGGUAUUCCUCUUGUCCAGAUGGGUUAGGGCAGUGUGGUUGAGAUUGCAUCGUCUGUGGACCUAUUUGGGCGGUAAGCAAAUUGGAGUGGGUCUAGGGUGUCAUGUAGGGUGGAGGUGAUAUGGUCCUUGACUAGUCUCUCAAAGCACUUCAUGAUGACGGAUGUGAGUGCUACGGGGCGGUAGUCGUUUAGCUCAGUUACCUUAGCUUUCUUGGGAACAGGAACAAUGGUGGCCCUCUUGAAGCAUGUGGGAACAGCAGACUGGUAUAGGGAUUGAUUGAAUAUGUCCGUAAACACACUCACAUCUGUUCAGACCCAAAAUAAAAAGAGCUGCCUCAUGUCCACUAUUUACGGUGUAUGGCAAAUGGGCUGUACAGAGCUGGUACAAACAACAUGCUAAUGUUUGUUAUCUACACUUACUGGCCUAUAGAGUUCCUUCAGAAAGUAUUCACACCCCUUGACUUCUUCCACGUUUUGUUGUGUUACAGCCUGCAUUUCAAAUGGAUUAAAUUGAGAUGUUUUUGUCACUGGCCUAUACACAAUACUUGGUAACACUUUACUUGACACCUGGUGUCAGAACACAUUAUGAUGCGGUCAUAACCAUGUCAUAGUGUCAUAACAGCUGACAUAACUUAUCAUGACCUGAUAUAAUAGGGUCAUAACACUGUCAUGACCUAUAUUUACACCUGUUGUGAUGUACUUUUGUAUAUAUAGUGCAUGUGAACACCCCUUCAAAUUAGUGGAUUUGGCUAUUUCAGCCACACCCGUUGAUGACGGGUGUAUCAAAUUGAGCACACCGCGAUGCAAUCUCCAUAGACAAACAUUGGCAGUAGAAUGGCCUUACUGAAGAGCUCAGUGGCUUUCAAUGUGGCACCGUCAGUUCGACAAAUUUCUGUCCUGCUAGAGCUGUCCCGGUCAACUGUAAGAGCUGUUAUUGUGAAGGGGAAACAUCUAGGAGCAACAACGGCUUAGCCUCGAAGUAGUAGGCCACACAAGCUCACAGAACAGGACCGACGAGUGCUGAAGCGCAUCUGUCCUCGGUUGCAACACUCACUACAGAGUUCCAAACUGUCUCUGGCACAAUAGCUGUUCGUUGGCAGCUUCAUAAAAUGGGUUUCCAUGGCCGAGCAGCCACAUACAAGCCUAAGAUCACCAUGUGCAAUGCCAAGCGUCGGCUAGAGUGGUGUAAAACUCGCUGCCAUUGGACUCUGGAGCAGUGGAAAUGCAUUCUCUCGAGUGAUGAAUUAUGCUUCACCAUCUGGCAGUCCGACAGACAAAUCUGGGUUUGGCGGAUGCCAGGAGAACACUACCUGCCCAAAUGCAUAGUGACAACUGUAAAGUUUGGUGGAGGAGGAAUAAUGGUCUGGGGCUGUUUUUCAUGGUUUGGGCUAGGCCCCUUAGUUCCAGUGAAGGCUAAUCUUAAUGCUACAACAUACAAUGACAUUCUAGACAAUUCUGUGGUUCCAACUUUGUGGUAACAGUUUGGGGAAAGCCCUUUCCUGAUUCAGAAUGACAAUGCCCCCGUGCGCAAAUCGAGGUUCAUACAGAAAUGAUUUGUCGAGAUUGGUAUGGAAGAACUUGACUGCCCUGCACAGAGCCCUGCCCUCAACCCCAUCAAACACCUUUGGGAUGAUUUGGAACGCCGACUGCAAGCCAGGUCGGGCACUAAUCGCCCAACAUCAGUGCCCGACCUCACUAAUGCAGUUGUGGCUGAAUAGAAGCAAGUCCCCACAGCAAUGUUCUAACAUCUAGUGGAAAGCCUUCCCCAGAAGAGUGGAGGCUGUUAUAGCAGCAAACAGGGGACCAACGCCAUAUUAAUGGCCAUGAUUUUGGAAUUAAAUGUUUGAUGAGCAGGUGUCCACAUACUUUUAGUCAUGUAGUGUAUAUUGCAUUUAUUUUAUGGCUGGUUAUGACACCGACAACAGGUCAAAAUGUGUCAUGGGUGUUAUAACCAUAUUAUAACGUGUUAUGUGUGUCAAGUAAAGUGUUACCCCAUACCCCAUAAUGUCAAAGUGAAAAUAUGUUUUUCAAAAUUUGACAAAUUUAAUAAAAAAUCAAAAGCUGAAAUGUCUUGAGUCUAUGAAUUCAAACACUUUGCUAUGGCAAGCCUAAAUACGUUCAGGAGUAAAAAUGUGCUUAACAACUCACAAGUUGCAUGGACUCACUAGUUGUGUAUAACAUACAAUUAUCUGGAAACCGCUCAGGGAUUUCAUGGUGACUUCAAAACAGUUACCAUUUAAUGGCUGUGAUAGAAGAACUGAGGAUGUAUCAAUAACAUUGUAGUUACUCCACAAUACUAACCUAAUUGACAGAGUGAAAAGAAGGAAGCAUGUACAGAAUACAAAUACUGCAACAACAAAAAUGUGGGCCAAAUCCAAUCCAACACAUUACAGUACCACUCUCCAGAUUUUCAACGACAGUGGUGGCUGCAUCAUGUUAUGGAUGUGCUUGUAAUCGCUAAGGACUGGGGAGUUUUUCAGAAUAAAAAAUAAACCGAAUGGAGCUAUACACAGGCGCAACCUGGUUCAGGCACUGUUAUCAGUGUCCUUCUGCUUUUGCUAAUCUCUCUCAUCUCCACCCCAUUUUCCCUCACCCCCCGUUUCCCUCUCCCACUAACCACACUGUUUUCCCUCCCUCUCCUCAUCUUUCCUCACCUUCUCUGACUAACCACACUCUUUUCCCUCACCCUCCUUCUCCCUUUUCACCAUCAACCCUCACCCUCAUGCUAACCAGACUCUUUUCCCUCACCCUCCCUCUCCCCAUCUUCCCUCACCUUCUCCCACUAACCACACAUUUCCCUCACGCUCCUUCUCACCAUCAUCCCUCACACCACACUCUAUUCCCUCACCCUCCCUCUCCCUUUUCCCCCUCACCCUCUCCCACUAACCACGCUCUUCCCUCACCCUCCCUCUCCCCCUCUCCCACUAACACUCCCCCCCCAUCCUCACCUUCCCCAGGUGUUGCGGAGCAGCUACAGAUGAGUUUCCAGUAGCUGUUUGGUUCCCCUGCGGCCCCUACAUCCUCCGGGCCCAGCCUGCACCACCAAACCGUGGAGAGCAACCCUCCAGCCCUCCAACCUAAAAUACUGGCACCCAGCCCUGAGGGCCUGCAAGCCCAGGUUCUGUAAGAACCACUAUGCGGAGAUGGAGGCCACUCUCCUCAGGAUGUACGAAUGGCUACUGGACCGGUUCUCCUUCUUCCUGGGGGUGAAACCUGACUGUGUGUAUGAAGAAGUACUGAAGGUGGAGAGGCAUUUCCUCAGGAGCAGCAAGCCCUGGGCUAGAGCUUUAACUACGCCCACAAAGACACAGCCCAGAAAACAGCCCAACGGCAAACAAACCAGAAAAACAACUUUGUUCUCUAGGCAGCUAAAGAGAGUGACUUCAUCGGGACCAACUACUAUGGAUAGUUACUGUGCCAUAAUGCCAUGCUGACGGAUUACUUUCAUUUUUGUCUCGAUGUAACAUGAUUGUUUGCCUUUUUGUACAAAUUGCCUGUGGAUUACAAUGUGAUUACGAUGUGAUAUGAUGUUUAUGAACAUGCUGUACUUUCAGUUAUAUUAAACUAUAUUUUCUGUUAUUACAAUGAUAUACGUGAACCUUUGUCCCAGCUAUGAAUCGAGGUUCAUAAAAAUCAGACAUUUAUGCACAUACGGCUAUGCAACUCUGUUAAUUAAGGAAUACCAGACAUUUUAGGCUAAGACUACAGGCUGUCAAUUUGCGUGUUACUUUAGUUUUGAGUGUGAUGGACAGGUAAUGGGUGUUACCUGCCAUUAGUGGUUUUGGACGGCUUUGUCCCAAUUCCCGGACACUUCUAUGAAACUUUGUAGAAGCACCUAUGGCAGCGAUUACAGCUUUGAGUCGUCUUGUCUGUAUCAGCAUUGCACAUCUGGAUUUGGGGAUUUUCUCUCAUUCUUCCUUGCAGAUUUUCUCAUGCUCUGUUAAGUUAGAUGGGGAGCGGCAGUGAACAGCAAUCUUCAAGUCACUGCAGAUCAUCACCAAAUUUCACAGUGGGUGUGAGACCUGGAGAGGCCUACAAGCCACAGUGCCAGGUCAAUCAAGGUGUGGAUAGAGGACCACCAGAUCAAGACCCUGUCAUGGCCAGCCCAAUCUCCAGACCUGAACCCCAUUGAAAACCUCUAGAAUGUGAUCAAGAGGAAGAUGAAUGGUCACAAGCCAUCAAACAAAGCCAAGCUACUUACAUUUUUGCUCCAGAAGUGGCAUACAAUUGGAAAAUCUGAACAUCGCUCCCCAUGAUAGCUGUCUUUCGGAACGUGUUCCCACCUAUAAAUACCUUGGAGUUUGGUUAGAUGAUCAUCUCUUUUAAAACUCGUAACUGAGAUGGCAAAGAAGCUGUGUCAUCAGAGCACAGAACGUAAAUUGUACAGGCCACUUAUGUCAGUGCUUGAUUAUGGUGAUGUUUUAUAUAUGCAUGGAUCAGCAUCAGUACUGAAGACAUUGGAUGCAGCGUUGCGCUUUGUUACUUUUGCACACAACAUUGCCUUUUAUACACUUUGGCUGGCUGGGACUCCCUGACUUUUAGAAGGACCAGAUACUGGUUGAUAUUUGUCUAUAAAGCUGUCUUACAGAAACUUCCUAAUUAUCUUAACUCAACAAUCCAGUGGUCAAACAGAAUUUAUCAGACUCGGUCACAGGACAUGCUAGUGCUAGAGAUGCCCCAGAUUCACUCUGAGUUAGGCAAAACGGCAUUUCAAUAUCAUGCUCCACACUCAUGGAAUGAAUUGCAGAGAGAACUCCAGUUAGAUGUUUUGGUGCCUGUAAGACAGUUUAAAUGCACAUUACAUUAACUUUUUAGUAUAAACUGUGAUUUCUUUUUGUAAUGUGUUUUUCUUAUAGAAGUGUAUUUAUUUAAAUAGUUUUCAUCUCCGUCUUGUUACGGCUGUUAAAGGAAGAGGACCAAAGCGCAGCGUGGUUGGCGUACAUUUUCCUUUAUUGAAUAAAAAUGACGCCGAACAAAACAAUAAACACUACAAAACAGCUAAAGGCUAUGUGCCCUAAACAAAGUCAACUUUCCACAAAGACAGGUGGGAAAAGGGCUACCUAAGUAUGUUUCUCAAUCAGAGACAACGAUGGACAGCUGCCUCUGAUUGAGAACCACACCCUGCCAAACACAAAGAAAUAGAAACAUAGAAAUAAAGAAACUAGAAUGCCCACCCUAGUCACACCCUGGCCUAACCAAAAUAGAGAAUAAAAGCCUCUCUAGGGUGUGACACUUGUACUUUUUAUAUAUUUUCAUUUUGUUUGGUUUCAAAUUCAUAUUAAUUGCUGUGUUUGUAUUGUUGUAUCACAGGGCACAACUGUAAAAGAGACUGUCUCAGCUUGUUUCUCC
ensembl:lncRNA